AGUCACCGACAUUAGAUACCCGUGUAGUCCAGGGUGUAAACGCUGCAGACUUGGUGUUGGGAACCCUUCGGGGGUGCUCAGUGCCGGAGAGAAGUUGUUAAGUCUGCUACUUGGGGAGUACGUCCGCAAGGAUGAAACUUAAAGGAAUUGGCGGGGAGCACCGCAACGGGAGGAGCGUGCGGUUUAAUUGGAUUCAACGACCGAAAAACUCACCAGCAGCGACUGUUACAUGAAAGUCAGGUUGAUGACCUUACUAGAUUUUCAG
rnacentral:rRNA from 1 species